AGUCUCACAGUCAGCUUUACACUGAAAAGGAAUGCAGCUUGAAAGGCUGAGUUGUGAGACUGC
ensembl:miRNA